rnacentral:rRNA from 1 species
ACGGAAGGCAGCAGUGGGGAAUAUUGGGCAAUGGGCGAAAGCCUGACCCAGCAACGCCGCGUGAGGGAAGAAGGUCUUCGGAUUGUAACCUUUGUCUUAUGGGACGAUAAUGACGGUACCAUAGGAGGAAGCCACGACUAACUACGUGCCAGCAGUCGCGGUAAUACGUAGGUGGCGAGCGUUAUCCGGAAUUAUUGGGUGUAAAGGGUGCGUAGGCGGGAUGUAAAGUCAGAUGUGAAAUACCGCGGCUUAACUGCGGGGCUGCAUUUGAAACUUAUGUUCUUGAGUGCGGUAGAGGUAAGUGGAAUUCCCAGUGUAGCGGUGAAAUGCGUAGAUAUUGGGAGGAACACCAGUGGCGAAGGCGACUUACUGGGCCGUUACUGACGCUGAGGCACGAAAGUGUGGGGAGCAAACAGGAUUAGAUACCCUGGUA